rnacentral:lncRNA from 1 species
GAAGACCCCUUAUUUCAUUCUCAACGAGAAGUCUCUCAUUUUGAUUCCUUCUUGUAUUCUUCCUCUAGUAAUAAAAGUGAAAAAAUAAGUGAGAAAGAAUUUAAAAGAAAAAAAGAAAUGAAAGAAAAAUAGUGUGAAAGAAAGCAAAAAGAAAGUGAAAAAGAAAAAGAGAAGGAAAAAGAAAAAGAGAUCGAGAGUGAAA